rnacentral:rRNA from 1 species
GACGAACGCUGGCGGCGUGCUUAACACAUGCAAGUCGAGCGGUAAGGCCCUUUCGGGGGUACACGAGCGGCGAACGGGUGAGUAACACGUGGGUGACCUGCCCUCAGCUCUGGGAUAAGCCUGGGAAACCGGGUCUAAUACUGGAUAUGACUCCAUGACGCAUGUUGUGGGGUGGAAAGCCUUGUGCGGCUGAGGAUGGGCCCGCGGCCUAUCAGCUUGUUGGUGGGGUGANGGCCUACCAAGGGCGACGACGGGUAGCCGGCCUGAGAGGGCGACCGGCCACACUGGGACUGAGACACGGCCCAGACUCCGUAGGGAGGCAGCAGGUGGGGAAUCUUGCGCAAUGGGCGAAAGCCUGACGCAGCGACG